GAAAUGCGAUAAGUAAUGUGAAUUGCAGAAUUCAGUGAAUCAUCGAAUCUUUGAACGCACAUUGCGCCCCCUGGUAUUCCGGGGGGCAUGCCUGUUCGAGCGUCAUUUCACCACUCAAGCCUCGCUUGGUAUUGGGCGACGCGGUCCGCCGCGCGCCUCAAAUCGACCGGCUGGGUCUUUCGUCCCCUCAGCGUUGUGGAAACUAUUCGCUAAAGGGUGCCACGGGAGGCCACGCCGUAAAACAACCCCAUUUCUAAGGUUGACCUCGGAUCAGGUAGGGAUACCCGCUGAACUUAAGC
rnacentral:misc_RNA from 1 species